GGAACUGACACAUUGAACCAUAUUGUGCCCUUUCCUGAGCUAAGGUUUCCUGCUACAGUAGUGCUACCGAGACCCCCAGAGCUUUUUGGCAUAUAAAGCUCGUCGUACUCAACAACUGGGGAAAUGCAGGACACACCUGUAUUUAUCGGGUGCAGGUUCAUGGGAAGAGAGCGGGAACAAAUGACAUCGGCCAAGGACAUGUGUAGACGCUGCAGAAAGGCGUUUCUUUUAAAAAUAAAACACAAAAUUAUUCCACAUCAGA